UAUUUCCAUGAAAACGAAUUGCAUACAUAUGGGUUCGUAAUUUGUGUUUUUUUCUAUUUUCCAAAUUAGAUCAAGAGGAAAAUAUUUGACGACGAACCACAAAAUCACAACAAUCUGGUGUCAGAAGUCUAUCCUUAUGUUGACGACGUUGUUAUCCCAACCCAGUGUAGUAAUUUAACACAAGCAACGCCACUAGCAAAUGACGAGGCUAUGCCAAGCUUGCCCCAUGAUACUUAGAAUUGGAUACUGUAUGUGUAUCUUGGAUAUCUCAGUAUUUUGUGUCAUCUGAGGUGGAAGAUACAGCUUCGACAUUUGAUUUGAGCAACUAUGUUUUUUAUGGGGGGAGAGAAUGAUGAUCAUCAUCAUCUUGGUCUACUACCAUUGAAAUGUGGGGAGUGUAGCGAAUAUUAUCUCGGCAUCCGACCCAUACGGAGUGAAACAUAACAUACCAAUGAU